GACGAACCGUGCGAACGUUGUUCGGAAUCACUGGGCUUAAAGGGCGCGUAGGCGGGCCCGCAAGUCAGGGGUGAAAGCCCACGGCUCAACCGUGGAAGGGCCUUUGAUACUGCGGAUCUCGAGGGGGGUAGGGGCGUGCGGAACUUCCGGUGGAGCGGUGAAAUGCGUAGAUAUCAAGUGGAACACCAGUGGCGAAGGCGAGUCCCUAGACAACUCCUGACACUGAGGCACGAAAGCUAGGGGAGCAAACAGG
rnacentral:rRNA from 1 species